AAGUCGUAACAAGGUUUCCGUAGGUGAACCUGCGGAAGGAUCAUUAAUGAAAUGUUAGGACGCUCUUUUUACAGGUCCGACCCAAUUCAUUUUACCUUUCACUCUGUGCACAUCACUACUUUUUUACACCCAUUUUUAACACGUAAAAGUCAUAAGAAUGUAAAACAAGUCUCUUAACUGAGCAUAAACACAAACAAAACUUUCAGCAACGGAUCUCUUGGCUCUCCCA
rnacentral:misc_RNA from 1 species